ensembl:snoRNA
CCAGCGCUUAGAGGCAUUGCAAGUGUGGCUGCUGUGUCACUGUGCUUCAGUAGGGGGCAGAGAGGAGAGAGGCUUUGUCUAUGCUGUGUUCUGACCAAUGACAUCUGCAUGAUUAGUAACCUAACAUU